UACGAAGGGGGCUAGCGUUGUCGCGAUUUACUGGGCGUAAAGCGCACGUAGGCGGUUUGUUAAGUCAGGGGUGAAAUCCCGGAGCUCAACUCCGGAACUGCCUUUGAUACUGGCAAGCUAGAGUCCGGAAGAGGUAAGUGGAACUCCUAGUGUAGAGGUGGAAUUCGUAGAUAUUAGGAAGAACACCAGUGGCGAAGGCGGCUUACUGGUCCGGAACUGACGCUGAGGUGCGAAAGCGUGGGGAGCAAACAGG
rnacentral:rRNA from 1 species